rnacentral:misc_RNA from 1 species
AGUUUGUGAACUUAGUCACAUGAUGGGAUUAUUAAUUUGUUGCUUUCAACUGAAAGAUUAAAGUUCUUUACUAUUUUUAAAAUUGGGGUAAUCCAAUAACAUGCCUUGUUAACUCUUCCAAAAUAUUAAACUUCCUUUCUCAAAAUAGAAUUGACAUUUUCAAUAAUUUCUUGUAUCAUGGUUUUGGGUCUUUGUAGAUGAAUCAGAGUUAUAGGGACUAUGGAUUGAAAAACAUAUGGAGAGCCCAACAACAACACAACUAAGCUU